ACAACAACAUUCGGACCGUUGGUCUACCGAGCAAUAUCACCCGCUCGGUGGAAGAUCUUCCCUCCGUCGUUAAGC
rnacentral:pre_miRNA from 1 species